UUUGAAAUGGCAGAGGAGAGUGCCCUGGAUUUAAGCUCCAGCUACAAAACGAAGGUAUCGUUUUUUUCAAAA
rnacentral:tRNA from 1 species